UAUUUAAGUAACUUAAUAAGAGUGUCAUAGUGAAGUUAUGAAAGUGGUAAUUUGCCCUUAAGU
rnacentral:tRNA from 1 species